UACAGAGGCCCCAAGCGUUACUGAGAAUCACUGGGCUUAAAGGGUGCGUAGGUGGUCCGUUAAGUCCGUUGUGAAAGCCCCUGGCUCAACCAGGGAACUGCUUCGGAUACUUGCGGACUUGAGGCCAGUAGGGGUCACUAGAACUGACGGUGGAGCGGUGAAAUGCGUAGAUAUCGUCAGGAAUGCCGAUGGUGAAGACAGGUGACUGGGCUGGUUCUGACACUGAGGCACGAAAGCGUGGGGAGCGAACGGG
rnacentral:rRNA from 1 species